CCUACGGGUGGCAGCAGUGAGGAAUAUUGGUCAAUGGACGAGAGUCUGAACCAGCCAAGUAGCGUGAAGGAUGACUGCCCUAUGGAUUGUAAACUUCUUUUAUAUGGGAAUAAAACAGGGUAUGCAUACCCUCUUGUAUGUACCAUAUGAAUAAGCAUCGGCUAACUCCGUGCCAGCAGCCGCGGUAAUACGGAGGAUCCGAGCGUUAUCCGGAUUUAUUGGGUUUAAAGGGAGCGUAGGUGGAUUUUUAAGUCAGUUGUGAAAGUUCGCGGCUCAACCGUAAAAUUGCAGUUGAAACUGGCAGUCUCGAGUACAGUAGAGGUGGGCGGAAUGCGUGGUGUAGCGGUGAAAUGCUUAGAUAUCACGCAGAACUCCGAUUGCGAAGGCAGCUUACUGGACUGAAACUGACACUGAUGCUCGAAAGUGUGGGUAUCAAACAGGAUUAGAUACCCGAGUAGUC
rnacentral:rRNA from 1 species